AAUCCAUAGGUUAAUGAGGCGAACCGGGGGAACUGAAACAUCUAAGUACCCCGAGGAAAAGAAAUCAACCGAGAUUCCCCCAGUAGCGGCGAGCGAACGGGGAGGAGCCCAGAGCCUGAAUCAGCAUGUGUGUUAGUGGAAGCGUCUGGAAAGGCGCGCGAUACAGGGUGACAGCCCCGUACACAAAAGCGCAUGUGCUGUGAGCUCGAUGAGUAGGGCGGGACACGUGGUAUCCUGUCUGAAUAUGGGGGGACCAUCCUCCAAGGCUAAAUACUCCUGACUGACCGAUAGUGAACCAGUACCGUGAGGGAAAGGCGAAAAGAACCCCGGCGAGGGGAGUGAAAAAGAACCUGAAACCGUGUACGUACAAGCAGUGGGAGCACCCUUUGGGUGUGACUGCGUACCUUUUGUAUAAUGGGUCAGCGACUUAUAUUCUGUAGCAAGGUUAACCGAAUAGGGGAGCCGGAGGGAAACCGAGUCUUAAUUGGGCGUUAAGUUGCAGGGUAUAGACCCGAAACCCGGUGAUCUAGCCAUGGGCAGGUUGAAGGUUGGGUAACACUAACUGGAGGACCGAACCGACUAAUGUUGAAAAAUUAGCGGAUGACCUGUGGCUGGGGGUGAAAGGCCAAUCAAACCGGGAGAUAGCUGGUUCUCCCCGAAAGCUAUUUAGGUAGCGCCUCGUGAAUUCAUCUCCGGGGGUAGAGCACUGUUUCGGCUAGGGGGCCAUCCCGGCUUACCAACCCGAUGCAAACUGCGAAUACCGGAGAAUGUUAUCACGGGAGACACACGGCGGGUGCUAACGUCCGUCGUGAAGAGGGAAACAACCCAGACCGCCAGCUAAGGUCCCAAAGUCAUGGUUAAGUGGGAAACGAUGUGGGAAGGCCCAGACAGCCAGGAUGUUGGCUUAGAAGCAGCCAUCAUUUAAAGAAAGCGUAAUAGCUCACUGGUCGAGUCGGCCUGCGCGGAAGAUGUAACGGGGCUAAACCAUGCACCGAAGCUGCGGCAGCGACGCUUAUGCGUUGUUGGGUAGGGGAGCGUUCUGUAAGCCUGCGAAGGUGGCCUGUGAGGGUUGCUGGAGGUAUCAGAAGUGCGAAUGCUGACAUAAGUAACGAUAAAGCGGGUGAAAAGCCCGCUCGCCGGAAGACCAAGGGUUCCUGUCCAACGUUAAUCGGGGCAGGGUGAGUCGACCCCUAAGGCGAGGCCGAAAGGCGUAGUCGAUGGGAAACGGGUUAAUAUUCCCGUACUUGGUGUUACUGCGAAGGGGGGACGGAGAAGGCUAUGUUGGCCGGGCGACGGUUGUCCCGGUUUAAGCGUGUAGGCUGGUUUUCCAGGCAAAUCCGGAAAAUCAAGGCUGAGGCGUGAUGACGAGGCACUACGGUGCUGAAG
rnacentral:rRNA from 2 species